AAAAUGGAAGCUGAGUUUGUAUGUAAAGGAAUUCAAAGAACUCUUUCAAGAAAAAUCGGUACUUAAAAGCUCUCAAGAAUCAAGGGUAUUAGAGGCCAAAGGGUAUCUAAGGUUGCAUAGAGUAUCAUAGAGUAUGGAUAUUUUGCCGCAAAAGGAGUUUUUCUAUCACUGUUAGAAACACCAAAGAAGUUUAUGGAAUACCUUUAGGGAAAGUCGGUAUUCUGCAGCUCUCCAGAACUAAGGGUAUUCGAAGCCUUCCUUCACCGGAGAUACAUGUAUCUUCCAUAUAUUUAGCCAUCUAUCUAUCUAUUUCGAUUUACGUUGUGAUUUUUGUGUAUUGUGCGGCGCAAUGUAAAAACAAUUUUGUUCGAAGCUCCGCUCUUUCCCUCUCUUUCUGGCUUUUGGGCGGACACUGCCGUCGACAUAGAUACACGGAUACGAGCACGGGGAUACAGAUGCACAGAUACACCGAUACACCGAUACAGAGGCAGAGCAGAACUUUUGGUUGGAAAUUUGCCAACCCCUCAUGGGGCUUUUCGACGAUCAGCUCGACCCCGCAUCCGUGCCAUGGCUGGGGAGCUGGUGGCCGGGGGCGGUGGAGGGGCUGGCGAUGGCGGCGUGCACCUUCAGCCGACGCUCCGCUCGGAGAGGGGCCAACAGGCUGCGACGGCUGCUUUCGGCCCACUGUUCGGGGCUCGGGGCCGGGGCUGGGGCCGGGGCGGGUCCGGUUCGGUCCGAUUCAGCAACUCAAGUUGGCCGCGUGUCUGAAUUCAGUUUUCAGUAUCCAAUUAGACUGCGACUGCUGCUCUGUGCUCUGCUCUGCUCUGCUCUGCAACGAACGCGGCGGCGAAAGCGAAAGAACACGGAAUCGGAAUCGGAGUCCCAAUCGGAUCGAAAGCAGAAUCGGUACGACGCCGACAAAAUCCCGACAAACGGUUUUCGAAUCGGGUAAAGAUCGGAGCGGUGUGCUGCCGCUCUCGUGUUCGCGCUUUUCUUUCUGUUUCCUUCUGUUGUGUGUGUUUUCCACUUGUGUUGUUGUUAUAUUUCGUUCGGUGCGUCGGCUAUUUCGAGAGGGGGAUUCAGAGUGGUGUGCUGGCUGCUGCAGUGGCAGUGGCAGUGCCAGUGGCAGAAGUCCAAGGUUUAAAACAACAAAAGCGAAACGAAAGGAAAGCAAAGAAGAACAACAACACGACGACGGGGAGCACAGAAGAAGAGUAGAUCAUCUUGAAGAGGCGCACAAGAAGCCGAAGAAG
rnacentral:misc_RNA from 1 species